rnacentral:tRNA from 1 species
GCGGUGGUAGCUCAGUUGGUAGAGCACCGGAUUGUGAUUCCGGUGGUCGUGGGUUCGAAACCCAUCCAUCGCCCCA